AAUCAACGCUGGCGGCGUGCCUAACACAUGCAAGUCGAACGCGAAAGCCCCGCAAGGGGUAAGUAGAGUGGCGCACGGGUGAGUAACACGUGGAUAACCUGCCUUUGAGUGGGGAAUAACCUUCCGAAAGGAGGGCUAAUACCGCAUAACACCUUUAGACAAAAGUCAAAGGGUUAAAAGGAGCAAUUCGCUCAAAGAGGGGUCCGCGCCUGAUUAGCUAGUUGGUGAGGUAACGGCUCACCAAGGCUUCGAUCAGUAGCCGUCCUGAGAGGGAGCACGGCCACACUGGAACUGAGACACGGUCCAGACUCCUACGGGAGGCAGCAGUGGGGAAUUUUUGGCAAGUGGCGAAAGCCUGACCAAGCAACGCCGCGUGGGUGAUGAAGUAUCUUGGUACGUAAAACCCUUU
rnacentral:rRNA from 1 species